UAAGCCACUACCGGCUGUGAAUUUGGGGGUUGUAGCUGGAGUAGAUGAUGCACCACACCCGGCUUCUCUUGCUAAAGCCCAGGCAUCCGCAGCAAAACACUGCUCUGGAUCCGAAGUUGCACCCUAGACCAGCUGCAGAAUGAAAGGCACAACCAAGCGACAUAGGCUGGGGAAAUGAAACUUGCUGUUCUCAGUGAAGCUUUUGAAGCCUAACAAAACAGCAUGUACAGAACAAGGCUGCAAGUGGACAGAUCCCUCAAAGCAAUUAAAGCAAAAUACAUUAUAACAGGCUGUACUUCAUCCCUUGAAAUGCUCGGAAGACACUGUCCUAGAUUCAACCACACCUGGAAGAAAGCAACAAUUUAUUGUAGCCCUAAGUAGGGCCACCGGAAUUUCCAUGGGUGCUAGAUCAGGUACAAGCUCCAAACUGCUGCUCCUCAGGGAAGAUUUGCAGAAUUGCCUGAAGAAGGGCCUGCAUGGGGUCCAAAAUGCAUUGAAACUAUUUUCUUUCAUUGAACAACAUAUCCUUCUUGUCUACCCCUAUGCUUUUGGCUUUUUAUCAUUCUUUGCAGGGUUCCCCAUUUUCAGGCAUUGAAGAUCUGGUUAUCCAAUAAAUCCCAGCAGGUACCUUCUUUGUAACCAAAUGUUAUGUGUGAGGGGGUUGGCACUUCAGGUGCCUGUGUAUGGUAAUCGACUCUACAGACUCGACCCAUCAGUCUUUUCCAACUGGCAAACAUUCAGGAGGAAAAUAGCCUGUCCUUUGGGUUUACUGAAAAAUGUUCCAAAACGUAGUAGGUUAGGUGGAAUUUGUUUGCUGGAGAAGUUGGCAACUUCCAAUCAGAAUGCAUUCUCAGACUUGUAUAAUCCAGUUGAACCAGUCAAAUUUAUUUCUGAGUAGAUAUGGAUAGAAUUGUGCAGUAAAGACACAAAGAGAUAUCAUCAUUCAUCCUUUCAUUGGCUAUAGCAGAGGCAGAACAAAACCUGUUGACUCAUCUGAGAAACCAGCAUCUUCCAUCCUUGAACGAUUUCCAUUCAAACUAGUCAUUAUGAGGGCAGGUGUGUAGCUUUAUUCAUUGGUGCUUGGGCUUGCUUGUUUGCCUCAUCUCAUUCUAUUCCUGUUGUGUGCCAUGUCUGUUAUGUUCCUAAAUUGUAGACCUGUAGGUGGGGCCUGUUUUUAAAAUGCUUGAUAAACUUUACAUUCUCUAUAAUGGAGGAAAAGAUAAAGAUAUUUCACAGAGUGGCUUCAGCAACUCAUUGAAUGACAACUUUUGUGUUGAAAGUCAAAGCUAAAGAAAUUUCAGUGCAGCACUAGUUUUAAUCCCAACCAAAUGGAUAACAUUCACUUACUUAUAGAAGCCAUACUUCAAAUUCUUUAUUUCCUCAGUAACCGAACUUUCCGAACCACUGUAGCAGCAUAGACCAACACUGUCAGAGGAUUCACUGCCAAUAGCAAAACUCAGACUAUUUUAACACAAGCUACUUUUUUACUAAGCACAAGGACAGCUUUGUAUUGGGCUUAAAUAGGUAAACCACCUUCAUUAAGUACCGAGCAUGUUCACACAAUCUGCUAAGCUACCCUGUGAAUAAACUACAUAGUAUCUGUGUUUGGACAUCAUGACAAACAACACUGUGUGGUUUCCACAGUGCACAGUUUUUUAUCUGAAUAUGCCUGACAGUUGUUUACAAGGUGUCUAUGCUAGCAUGGUUUCUAUCCUCCUUGCUCAGACAAACAAUCAGAUUUAUGGUGAUAAUUCUCCUCCCUCCUACCAUUUCCUUCCUUCAGUCCUCCAGGCAGGAGACACCCAGGAGACGAAUGAAGUCCCUCUAUUUGACAGCUGCAAACGUGAGCUGAGUUCAGUUUACCACAGCUGUCAAGCAGUCUCUGCUGUGCUAAUGGGCUGCUUUUGUUAAGCAGCUGUCUGCUGCUAGCCUUGGUACCACAAUGGAGUCAGACCUGAUGUCCUUAUAGGCCCCUUCCAACUCUACUAUUCUACGAUUAUGACAGCAAGAAAUCAUAGAACAGACCAUUGCUUUGGUUCAUGGUUUCUAAGGAUCAAAACAUGCCAUACGGAAAUUUUAUGACACAGUUUGGAAAGCAUGACAGAUCUGUAGUUUUUUCAGGUUUUGUUUUUUCAGGUUAUGCAAACCUGCCUGUUGCCUCAGGAAGAGAUAAGUAAUAUUCCUCCUUAUUUAAAUGUUUAUCCUUGGUGACAAUAGCAAACUAUACUCUGUCCACAAAAAAGAAAAAGAUUAAACCUAUAGUGAUGGGCACCAUGAUUUAUUAUUGGAGGAUUGCUUAAUGACUGCUGACACAGAGUGCUCUAUUUUUCUUUUUCAAAGAGCUUGUUUAAAAAAAUAAAUUUUCUGGACUCUUUUGCUAACAAAGCUGAUUAGAUGAGCCAAAGAUAAUGUCUCAAGAGGCAGAUUUGCAACUCAAGGAUUAGGGUAUUUUAACAGAUACUUUGAUUAUAUUUAUAUCCCAGUGAUUGGGACUCAAAAGUGGCUAUCCAAGAUGGAGCUGAGCUCAAGAAAUCCAAGAUUUACCAUCCUCAUGUCAUGUUUCAGCCCUGAGGACAUUGGGAAUUUUCUAGUGUCACAUUUGGGAUUCUAAAUAUAUGCAAAGGAAAAGAAGAGGAGGUUGACUGGCAGGAAGGGACAGAUGUAUCUUGAUAUUAGUAGCUCAGAAAAUGUGAAGUGAAACAGUGCAAUUGCUACAGAUAUUUCAUUCAAGGAAAUUUAUUUCAAAAACAGAUAAAAUCAACAGUGAAAGGUAGUGUGAAGCAAAAAAAAAAAAAAAAAAGAUUUCUAAACAAAAAAGAUUGCCAUAAUGGUGUCCAGUCAUGCUUUUGACUUCAGAGCCUUGAGAAAUAAUUAAAUCUAAGUGUGUCAAUCUUGGUCCAAAAGAGUUAGUGUCUGUGUGCCCAACCUGUUCAUAAGGGUAAAGAAGCAACAGUAGCCCUGUUCCAGGUGUCCAGAAAAAGGCUUAAAACAAACUUGUGAGGAGAAAAGGCCUUCUAGCCCCACUCUCUCUUGUUCUGUUUGUCAUUUUCAACAGGACCAGGCUGCAUACCCCUCCUCAUGCAUUGAUUUUAACCUAUUUUUGAAAGGCUGAACAGGACUUACUACAAUUGGCAUGCUUAGGGCAAUUGUACAUGAUGAAAAAAUACAUCCAGAAAGCAUUUUGUAGGCCCUCUAAUAUUGUACAGAAUAUAAAAUCCCUUGAGCACUAAUGUCUGUGUUUCUUUUUUCUUUUGAAAUUCUCCAAAUACUGCAGUAUUUUAAAAAAAUACAUUUAUUUUAAUUUCAACACAAUUUCAUAAAAUACCAGUUUUAGCUGGAGAAAUAACAAGAACUGUUCUAUGGUUACUAGUUGAGUACACGUUUGCUGGUGUUAAGAUGCUCUGAAGGGGGUUCCAUACAGAAUGUUCCUGCCUGCAGUACAGAGGUAGUUUUGCCAAUUUCCCCAUCCUCAGUGCCACUUCUCCCACUGUACCUCAACUCUUCAGAAUAGAUUUUUUAGGGAGCACAGGGAACUUCAGGGAAUGCCUCAAAAAUUGAUUCUUUUCUCAUUCCACUAGUAAGAUUCCUCUGCUGGAUCAAAUACCUUUGAUGUUUGCAGAAGACAGACUCUGGAUCCAAUUCAUGGUAUCCAUGCUCUGGAAGUGCUGAAAGAAAGUUUGCAAACAUAUAUAUGAUAUUGGUCAUACCAUUUCUUAAUUCAGCACUAUCUUGUACUUCUUCAAUGCUUCUUCCUUUUCAAGGCAUAUUGCUGUUUUCACUUAGCAUACACGCCUGGCAAGUGGUUUAAGUAGGUGUUUAAAGUUCACUCAGCAUCACCCAAGAAACUAAUUCAAGCUAUGAACCCAAGUACAAUUACGUGAAAGUAGCCACAAGCAAAUAUUUACACGGCUGUAGGCUGAAGCUUGUAUCCCAUUCCAAAAGUGACGCCAUGAAUUCCGAAGGUCUUGCAUCACUCUGGCAUGAGCCUGCUAUUUGUGCUGUUUUAUAUUGCUUAUAAAGGGUUGCUGACCAUGCGUAUCAUUAAGCAAUGCCAACAUGUGAUCCCCUGAUUCCCCAAAACAUCUAAAAGUGAACCACAUACUUACAGGAACAAAAAGCAGCUCGUUAUCCGUUUAUGUAGUGAUAAGAUCUUUGACACACUUGAAACAUUCUGAUGGCCUGAUGGAUUUUUUAAAAUGAGUGUAAUGCUAUCUGAACUCUGUUUUCCUUCCUCUGAUAAGAUACAUUCACGUCUCUUCAGCCCUAAAUAUUGCAGCAUGCCCUGUUUCCUUCACUUCUUCUGGAGUUUGAAAGACAGAGACUCUAGGAGUACCAAGUACACAUUCCUGUUUGGUCACUGCAAAUCAUUUUAGGGCCACAUACUGCCUAAGGGCCCAGGGUCCACCUUUAGCUUGUAGUUUUUAGAAAUAAAGUUUUCUGAGGUCUUAUUUGUGAAUGGAAAACAAUUGGGUUCUGACUAGCCUUUACUCUGCAAAAUGGUGUUUCUAGCAAGUGGAACAAGAAUCACUGCUUCUGAGAACAAAUUCAGCUGCACAGAAGGAGUCCUGUAGGAACAUAUCAAAGGCCAAUCUCAUGCAGCAUCCUACUGGACAAGCAGAUGGCACUGGGAAGCUCACAAGCAAGACACAUGGACACUUUUCACUUCCCUUUAAAAGCUACAACUUAAUAGGGUCAUUGACAAAGCAAGACUACACUACUGACCAGCAAUAAGUGCACACUUGCACAUUUGCAAAACAACAACAACAAAAGUAAUAAUGAAAAGAAUACAUCUGUGCAAUUAUGGGGGGCUGAAAAAUAUUUUUAAAGGGUAGUGAGCCAAUGACAGUCUCUCCAGAGUACUCAGUACCGAUACUCAAUAACUGGUUUUCAGUAGCAAGGUGGAUCUAGUGUUUAGCUUUCAUGACUAGCUACUGAUAGCCUUCUCCUCCAUGAAUUUAUCUAAUCCACUUUAAACUCACCUAAACUGGUGGCCAUUAACAUAUAACAUGGCAGCAAACUCUACACUAUCAUUAUGUGCUGCAUGAAGAAGUACUUUUUCUGCCCUACAUCUCCCACCAUACAUCCCACCCAGGGUUGCAAUAUUAUGAAAGAAGAAAUAUUUAUCACUCUUCUUUUUUGUACUAUGCAUAACUUU